UACGUAGGGGGCGAGCGUUGUCCGGAUUUAUUGGGCGUAAAGGGCGCGUAGGCGGUUUCUUAAGUUUGACGUGACAGUGGGUGGCUUAACUACCCAAGGCCUUUGAAAACUGGGGAACUUGAGGACCAGAGAGGGACAUAGAAUUCCGGGUGGAGUGGUGAAAUGCGUAGAUAUCCGGAGGAAUACCAAAGGCGAAGGCAGUGUCCUGGAGGGUGACUGACGCUGAGGCGCGAAAGCUAGGGGAGCGAACAGG
rnacentral:rRNA from 1 species